rnacentral:lncRNA from 1 species
CUGUUCUGUUUCCACUUUUUCAGAUGCAGUAUCAAUAUUGUUAGAGCAAGUGUCCGCGUCUUCUAUGAUCUCCUCCUUAAUUUCUUCUGAUAUUUCAGAUACAGAGCUGGAGACGUCCACUUUCUCCUCACUACCCUGUUUCUGUAGCAUCUCUUCUUCCAUUGCUUUUGUAACGGGAGAUCGUUCAGGGUCUUUGCUGAAAUCUUCCUCAACCUCUAGGUUCAUUUUUUCUGUUUGCACUUCGGAAUCUGUUGCGCUAGGAUUCUCAUUGGAUACCGUCUCAGAAUGUUGCUCCUGCUUAACAGAUAAUGCUGAAAUUAGUGGAUAGAAAAAAGAAAAGACAGCAGCAUAUGAGAAAUGGUUGAAUUAAUAUUUCAUAUACUAAUGUUAAGCUGACCUUGUCAACUGAUUCAUCUUCAAUGUAUACUGCAGGAAAUUCGUUGAUCUCUCUCUCUCUCUCUAUGAUCCGUUCUUUUAUGUUUUCACUUUCUUCUGCAGUUUUCUCAGCUCCCUCAGGCACCUAUUCAAUGCACAUAACUUCAAUAUAUCAAAUAAAACCUACUCAAACCAUAUGGAAAUGCAAAAGAGAAAUCCAUUGAAGUUAAUUACUUAGUUUAAUAACGAGUAAUAAGAGAGGAUGAGGGCAGUUAUGGUGGUCUGACCUCUUCUGACAGCUCCAUGACUUUGUCACUUUCUGUUGGAGAAUAUGAGCAUUUUAUUGCAGACACAUUUUCUCGAUGCUCUAACUGUGAUACUUCAUCCAGAGUAAUGCAUUCUUCCUUUGGUGGUUUAUUUGGAUUAAUUUGUUGUAUGUUCUCAUUGACUUCCAGCCCCAAUCCAGAAAGUUCGAGCUCCCUGGGCUCUUCCUUUUGCAAGUGCAUGUAAUCUGCUGUCUUUGUGGCAAAAGAAUCUUCUAGGUUCUCAUUUUGUGGGGUUUCAUCUUCCUUUGUCUUUCCAUCUUCUGAGUACCCAAUUGUGGCUAUAAUUCCAUGGUCCUGUUCUUCAGAAAGCAAUGCUUUGGAUGUUUCCUGAUGUUGCUCUUCUGAUUUGCCUUCUGUGGCAGUCUGAACAACAUCGAUUUCAUCUUCAAUAACUGCUUCAACACCUUCAUAGUUGCAUCCAGACACUGUUUCAGAUGGUCCUUUGAUUUCUUCUUUAAUUAUAUGUUCUGAUUCUUCCACAGUUAGGCUUUUCUGUGUUCCAUCAUUUUCUUCAACACAUUGUUCUCUGGACUCAGAUACUGUUUCAGAAGCUCCUUCAAUUUCUUCAACUUCAUCUACAUGUGGCUUUUCCACAAUUUCACUCUCCUUGUUUCUGUUCUCACAUGCAAUAGCUGGAAGUUGAGACACCCCUUCAGAGGUUUCUUCAAGCUUAACUCUGUCAACUUCUACACCCUGUGGACUAGUUUCAGUUGCGGUGUUUGUUUGCAAUGUCUUAUCUUCUGAACUAGUCUCAAUGAUCUUUAUAUGCUUGUCAUCCAGCUGAGCUUCCUGCAAGCUUGUCUGUUCUGUUUCCACUUUUUCAGAUGCAGUAUCAAUAUUGUUAGAGCAAGUGUCCGCGUCUUCUAUGACCUCCUCCUUAAUUUCUUCUGAUAUUUCAGAUACAGAGCUGGAGACAUCCACUUUCUGCUCACUACCCUGUUUCUGUAGCAUCUCUUCUUCCAUUGCUUUUGUAACGGGAGAUCCUUCAGGGUCUUUGCUGAAAUCUUCCUCAACCUCUAGGUUCCCUUUUUCAGUUUGCACUUCGGAAUCUGUUGUGCUAGGAUUCUCAUUGGAUACUGUCUCAGAAUGUUGCUCCUGCUUAACAGAUAAUGCUGAAAUUAGUGGAUAGAAAAAAGAAAAGACAG